AACGAACGCUGGCGGCAUGCCUAACACAUGCAAGUCGAACGAGACCUUCGGGUCUAGUGGCGCACGGGUGCGUAACGCGUGGGAAUCUACCCUUGGGUUCGGAAUAACUCAGAGAAAUUUGAGCUAAUACCGGAUGAUGUCGCAAGACCAAAGAUUUAUCGCCCAAGGAUGAGCCCGCGUAGGAUUAGCUUGUUGGUGAGGUAAAAGCUCACCAAGGCGACGAUCCUUAGCUGGUCUGAGAGGAUGAUCAGCCACACUGGGACUGAGACACGGCCCAGACUCCUACGGGAGGCAGUAGUGGGGAAUAUUGGACAAUGGGCGAAAGCCUGAUCCAGCAAUGCCGCGUGAGUGAUGAAGGCCUUAGGGUUGUAAAGCUCUUUACCCGGGUAUGAUAAUGACAGUACCGGGAGAAUAAG
rnacentral:rRNA from 1 species